rnacentral:rRNA from 1 species
GACGAACGCUGGCGGCGUGCCUAAUACAUGCAAGUCGAACGCUGAAGAGAGGAGCUUACUCUUCUUGGAUGAGUUGCGAACGGGUGAGUAACGCGUAGGUAACCUGCCUUGUAGCGGGGGAUAACUAUUGGAAACGAUAGCUAAUACCGCAUAACAAUGGAUGACACAUGUCAUUUAUUUGAAAGGGGCAAUUGCUCCACUACAAGAUGGACCUGCGUUGUAUUAGCUAGUAGGUGAGGUAAUGGCUCACCUAGGCGACGAUACAUAGCCGACCUGAGAGGGUGAUCGGCCACACUGGGACUGAGACACGGCCCAGACUCCUACGGGAGGCAGCAGUAGGGAAUCUUCGGCAAUGGGGGCAACCCUGACCGAGCAACGCCGCGUGAGUGAAGAAGGUUUUCGGAUCGUAAAGCUCUGUUGUAAGUCAAGAACGGGUGUGAGAGUGGAAAGUUCACACUGUGACGGUAGCUUACCAGAAAGGGACGGCUAACUACG